rnacentral:rRNA from 1 species
UACGUAGGGUGCAAGCGUUGUCCGGAAUUAUUGGGCGUAAAGAGCUCGUAGGCGGUCUGUCGCGUCGGCUGUGAAAACUCGGGGCUCAACCCCGAGCCUGCAGUCGAUACGGGCAGACUUGAGUGCUGUAGGGGAGACUGGAAUUCCUGGUGUAGCGGUGAAAUGCGCAGAUAUCAGGAGGAACACCGGUGGCGAAGGCGGGUCUCUGGGCGGUAACUGACGCUGAGGAGCGAAAGCGUGGGGAGCGAACAGG